rnacentral:rRNA from 1 species
GACGAACGCUGGCGGCGUGCUUAACACAUGCAAGUCGAACGAAAAGAGGGAAAGAGCUCGCUCUUUCCGGAAUUGAGUGGCAAACGGGUGAGUAACACGUAAACAACCUGCCUUCAGGAUGGGGACAACAGACGGAAACGACUGCUAAUACCGAAUAAGUUCCAAGGGCCGCAUGGCCCAUGGAAGAAAAGGUGGCCUCUACCUGUAAGCUAUCGCCUGAAGAGGGGUUUGCGUCUGAUUAGCUGGUUGGAGGGGUAACGGCCCACCAAGGCGACGAUCAGUAGCCGGUCUGAGAGGAUGAACGGCCACACUGGAACUGAGACACGGUCCAGACUCCUACGGGAGGCAGCAGUGGGGAAUCUUACGCAAUGGGCGAAAGCCUGACGGAGCAACGCCGCGUGAGUGAUGACGGCCUUCGGGUUGUAAAACUCUGUGAUCCGGGACGAAAAGGCAGAGUGCGAAGAACAAACUGCAUUGACGGUACCGGAAAAGCAAGCCACGGCUAACUACGUG